GACGAACCGUGCAAACGUUGUUCGGAAUCACUGGGCUUAAAGGGCGCGUAGGCGGGCAGGCAAGUCAGGGGUGAAAGCCCACGGCUCAACCGUGGAAGUGCCUUUGAUACUGCCUGUCUCGAGGGAGGUAGGGGCGUGCGGAACUUCCGGUGGAGCGGUGAAAUGCGUAGAUAUCGGAAGGAACACCGGUGGCGAAAGCGGCGCGCUGGACCUCUUCUGACGCUGAGGCGCGAAAGCCAGGGGAGCAAACGGG
rnacentral:rRNA from 1 species